rnacentral:rRNA from 1 species
UUGGGGAAUCUUCCGCAAUGGACGAAAGUCUGACGGAGCAACGCCGCGUGAGUGAUGAAGGUCUUCGGAUUGUAAAGCUCUGUUAAUCGGGACGAAAGAGCCUAGUGUGAAUAAUGCUAGGAAGUGACGGUACCGGAAUAGAAAGCCACGGCUAACUACGUGCCAGCAGCCGCGGUAAUACGUAGGUGGCAAGCGUUGUCCGGAAUUAUUGGGCGUAAAGCGCGCGCAGGCGGAUCUGCCAGUCUGUCUUAAAAGUUCGGGGCUUAACGCCGUGAUGGGAUGGAAACUACAGAUCUAGAGUAUCGGAGAGGAAAGUGGAAUUCCUAGUGUAGCGGUGAAAUGCGUAGAUAUUAGGAAGAACACCAGUGGCGAAGGCGACUUUCUGGACGAUGUCUGACGCUGAGGCGCGAAAGCUAGGGGAGCGAACGGGAUUAGAUACCCCAGUAGUCC